rnacentral:lncRNA from 1 species
NNNNNNNNNNNNNNNNNNNNNNNNNNNNNNNNNNNNNNNNNNNNNNNNNNNNNNNNNNUGGGGGUCCCAGGGCCGGGUCUGGGGGUCCCCGGGAACAUUCUGGGGGUCCCCAUCCUCAUAGGGGUCCCAGGGCUGGGUUUGGGGGUCCCCGGGAACACUCUGGGGGUCCCCAUAGGGAUCCCAAGGUCGGGUUUGGGGGUCCCCGGGCACACUCUGGGGGUCCCAGGGCCGGGUCUGGGGGUCCCCGGGAACACUCUGGGGGUCCCCAUAGGGGUCCCAAGGUCGGGUUUGGGGGUCCCCGGGAACACUCUGGGGGUCCCCAUAGGGGUUCCAGGGCCGGGUUUGGGGGUCCCCGGGCACACUCUGGGGGUCCCAGGGCUGGGUUUGGGGGUCCCCGGGAACACUCUGGGGGUCCCCAUAGGGGUCCCAAGGUCGGGUUUGGGGGUCCCGGCCCCUCCGGAGGCUUCCGGGCUCGGGGUCCCUGUAGGGGUCCGAGGGGGGUGGGGCGGGGUCCCAGGGCUCCUCUUCAGGCUCCUCAUCCUCGUAGGGGUCCCCAUAGGGGUCCCCAUAAAUGUCGGGGUCCCAGGGCUCCGUUUCGGGGUCCCACGGCCCCUCCCGGGGGUCCUCGGCCCUGUAGGGGGGGGCCGGACCCCCAUAGGGGUCCCCGUAGGUGUCGGGGUCCCAGAGCUGCGGCUCGGGGUCCUCGUAGGGGUCCCCGUAAGGAUCGGGGUCCUCGUCCCCAUAGGGGGGCACGGGGGAGGUGUCACCGGCGGGGGCGGGGUCCCGGAGGGAAUCCCGGAGGGAAUCCCGGUGCCAGCCCCGGUGCCGGGGCGCUCCCAAGCCCCCAUCCCUGUCCGAGUCCCGGUGCGAAUCCCGGUGCGAAGCUUCCCGGGAAUCCCCGCGCCAGCCGGGAUCCCGGUCCCGGUGCAAAUCCUGCUGCCAUUCCCGGUGGGAAUCCUCGUGCGAGCCCCGCUCUGGCCGCAAAUCCCGGUGCAAAUCCCGGUGCAAAUCCCGGUGCCCUCCCGGGGGCAAAUCCUCCCGGGAAUCCUCGGGCAAAUCCCGGUGCAAAUCCCGGUGCCGGAUGGGCUGGGAAUGCUCAUGGAAAUCCUGACGGGAAUCCCGGUCCCAAUCCCGGUCCCAAUCCCCGUGCGAGCCCCGGUGCCGCUCCACGGGCAAAUCCUGGGAAUCCCGGUCCAGAUCCUGGUGGGGAUCCCGGUCCGAAU